rnacentral:rRNA from 1 species
CCUACGGGGGGCAGCAGUGGGGAAUAUUGCACAAUGGGGGAAACCCUGAUGCAGCGACGCCGCGUGAGUGAAGAAGUAAUUCGUUAUGUAAAGCUCUAUCAGCAGGGAAGAAAAUGACGGUACCUGAGUAAGAAGCCCCGGCUAACUACGUGCCAGCAGCCGCGGUAAUACGGAGGGGGCAAGCGUUAUCCGGAUUUACUGGGUGGAAAGGGAGCGUAGACGGGAGGGCAAGUCUGAAGUGAAAGGCGGGGGCUCAACCCCCGGACUGCUCUGGAAACUGUACGGCUGGAGUGCAGGAGAGGUAAGUGGAAUUCCUAGUGUAGCGGUGAAAUGCGUAGAUAUUAGGAGGAACACCAGUGGCGAAGGCGGCUUACUGGACUGUAACUGACGUUGAGGCUCGAAAGCGUGGGGAGCAAACAGGAUUAGAUACCCCAGUAGUC